GGGUGGGGCCCUUGGAACAGCCUGUGGAUUCUGUUCAUAAUGAAAUAAAAACUGCUAAGACUUGUGCAGAGGAAAGCAUGGACAGUCAAAGGCAUCCUUGCUGCUGUGUGCUGCAGACAGUGGAGGAGUGAGCUCCUUAACAUAUUGUUUUCUUCAGUGGUGUGGUCCCUGGUACAUCGCCAUGGAGAGUGGGAGAGUGCUUGGCUCAUGCUCAUUACUCUGAAAAAGCUGCAAUCCGUCAGUUCUCAACUGUCUCCCUUAUGUUGGCUUUCUUUGAACACCGGGAACCUUUGCAGUUUGAAGAACAUGAAGAUGCUUGCUGAUGCAUUUGCCUCAAACACAGGCUUAUUGUGCCACUUUCUUCUAGAGCUGAGCCAACUGUGGUUCGGAAGCCAGUAGAGGUGACGUUGCUGGGACACAAGGCUAGCACAAACUGACUCCCUACAGUGCACGUUCUACUGUGCUGUGUUCUUCUGACUCUAUGCUACAUUGGCAACCACCGGUUUCCUCCCAUUCUGCCAACCCUCUGGCUUGCUAGGAGUUUCCAUGGAGAAGAGGGUGGUAUCUUUUGGAGCUCCUCCAUUGAACACUCCCUGAUGCUCUACUCUGGCUGAGUCUCAGUUCUUGGUGGUUGUUUAUGAUAUUCAAGCAUCCGCACUGGCCUGUGAUGUCUCCCUGACUCCGUCCAUCCCAUCCUCUUACAGCUGUAUUCUUCCUCUCCUGGCACCAAGAGUGUCAGUCAUGCCGUGCAUCAGGGCCCUUCUGUGACGCACUGCAGCCUUUCAAGAGUGCCUCUUCCCCCACUGGAUGUGAUUUUCAAUAUUUAGAGAUGGCUCAGAUGGAAAAGUUCUUGUCACACAGCAUGCACACUGGGGUUUUGUUUUUAGAACCUAUAUAUAACUCAGGCAAGGCAAAUGGUCAGCCUGAAAUUCUAGCCAUCUAAAGGCAGAAACAAAAGAGCAAGCUUUGGCUAGCCAGACUAGCCAAAUCACGAAGACUAGCUCAAUUAGGAGAACCUGCCUCACUGAACACAGUGGGAACAACUGAGGAAGAUUCCCAGUAUCAACCUCUGACUUCACUCCAGACUUCAGUCUCCAACUUGCACAAAUGUCUGCAUGCAC
rnacentral:lncRNA from 1 species